CCUACGGGUGGCUGCAGUGGGGAAUAUUGGGCAAUGGGCGCAAGCCUGACCCAGCAAUGCCGCGUGCAGGAAGAAGGCUCUAGGGUUGUUAACUUCCUUUUUGAGGGAGGAAGAAAGUGAUGGUCCUUCAGGUAUAAAACUAGGCUACCUAUGUGCCAGCAGCCGCGGCAAUCCGUAGGUGGCAAUCGUUAUCCGGAUUUAUUGGGUGUAAAGGGCGUGUAGGCGGUAAAGCAAGUCAGAUGUGAAAACUCAGGGCUCAACCCUGGGCCUGCAUUUGAAACUGUUUUUCUUGAGAGCUGGAGAGGCAAUCGGAAUGCCGGGUGUAGCGGUGAAAUGCGUAGAUAUACGGAAGAACACCAGUGGCGAAGGCGGAUUGCUGGACAGUAACUGACGCUGAGGCGCGAAAGCGUGGGGAGCAAACAGGAUUAGAUACCCGAGUAGUC
rnacentral:rRNA from 1 species